rnacentral:lncRNA from 10 species
UGGAAACGUGAAAGAAGAAAAGCUUUGUUGUGAUUUACUCUGUGGCCCUCCGAGACUUCGUGUAACAGCAACUGCAUUUUAAUGCAAUGGCAGCUAUGGAAAACACAAAACUAUCAGUCAUUGUCAAAUACUCCAUAAAUGGAGACAGAGAAGGGGUUCAGUUCUCUGUGUAACAAGGACAGAGGAGAAAGGCAUCUGCAGUGUCAAAUCUACAGAGACAAGUGCACCUGGAGACAAAUGACCAGACUACCAUAAAACAGAAGCUUAAUUAUGUUCACUUACAUUUUCAAAUUAUUCCCAACAAAUUACCCUGUUUUUCCAGGCAGAAGAAGCAGAGUGAAGAGAGGACAUUCCAAAUAAAAUGAAUGGGUCCUUAUGUGACAGGUGUCAUACCCUAUACCUGGAAGAAGGAAUGCUGCAUAGAGAGGCCCGGAAGAAUCUGAAAAAACAGGCCUUACUGGGCUCCUUCAGUUUAUCACCAUUACAACACACCCUUUUUGUCCAAUCGUAUUUCUAUACAGCUGAUCCUGCAUUGAGUGCAAGCAAAAAAC